UGUGCAUAAUAGGAGUCGGACCUGCCCGGUGAGUUUAUUUAACGGCUGCAACGAGAGUUGUACUAAGGUAGCGCGAUAAUUUGUCUCUUAAUUGGAGAAUGGUAUGAAAGGUUUGUCGCAAAUUAGUUGUCUCUUAAAAAUUAAAUGAAGUUUCCUUUUAAGUGAAAAGGCUUAAAAUUUUGUAAAAGACGAGAAGACCCUGUCGAGCUUGAUUAACUUAAAAAUCUAAAUAAUUAGGUUUUCAGGCGAAUUGUAGUUGGGGAGAGCUGGAUUCAAAAUAAUGAGUCUUUUUGAACGUUGAUCCUCUUUGAGAGAUAGUAGGCAAAAGCUACCGCAGGGAUAACAGCGUAAUUUUUUCUGAGAGAUCUUAUUGAGGGAAAAGUUUGCGACCUCGAUGUUGGAUUAGAGUAACUGUUUGGUGCAGCAGCUAAACAAAGUAAGACUGUUCGUCUUUUAAAUUUCUACAUGAUCUGAGUUCAGACCGGAAUUA
rnacentral:rRNA from 1 species